rnacentral:lncRNA from 1 species
UUUGUUUAGUGUACUCUAGUGGCAAAACUGCUGGCUAGUGUACCUGUUCUGCCAAAAGUAAAAUGGGCUUACUGAGGAAAUUAAAUUUAUGUUCAAGUGCUAUUUCUUUAUGCACCGGGGAACAAGCAUUUCUAACAACCUGGUCCUACGUGGCUGAAACUGGAUCCCAGAAGCCCCGUCCUUCCCGAAGCUCGUAGCGGAAGUGACAUCAGCCCGCCGCCACUAUCUUUUCCCGCGCUGGCUGCCCACGGUCAGUGCUGUUUCACCUUUAUCUUGGUGGAGUCGACCCCGGCUGUGGACUUCAAAUAACCCUGUACAAAGAGGAAUGGAGAUUGCCUCUAUUCACCUAGAUUCAUAAGUUGCCCUGAGGCAAUCUUGGCAUCAAGGAAGAGAGCAUUGAGGCACAACUGACCAUCAGCUUCAGAGAAUGGCAGUCACUGAUUUGUCCCAUGGGUUUUUUCCCAGGGAACCAAUCUGCCCUUUUGAAGAAAAGACAAAGAUAGGAACGAUGGUGGAGGACUACCUGGCAAAUUCUUAUCAGCAGACAAGAAGCUACAGUGGAUGGAAACUCUGAGAAUUGUGGAGAGGUCUUCAGUGAAUGGUUUUGCCUUAAAACACACAUGAGAGCUCAGAAUGGAGGGAACAUCUUUGAGGGUAAUUGUUAUGGAAAAGACAUCCUCAGUGUGCACAAGGAAGCCUCUAUUGGACAGGAACUUUCCAAAUUUAAUCCAUGUGGAAAAGUCUUCACCUUAACUCCAGAUCUUGCUGCACAUCUUGGAAUUCUCAAUGCAAGACAACCAUACAAAUGUAAGGAAUGUAGAAAAGGCUUUAAGUAUUUUGCAAGCCUUGAUAAUCACAUGGGAAUCCACAUUGGAGAGAAAUUCUGUGAAUUUCAGGAAUGUAGGAGAGCCAUCACUCAUUCCUCACACCUAAAGCAGUGUGUAACAGUUCAUACUGGAAAGAAAUCUAAAAAGACUAAGAAACAUGGGAAAUCCUUCACUAAUUUUUCUCAACUUUCUGCACAUGUGAAAAUUCAUAAAGGAGAGAAGUCCUUUGAAUGUAAAGAAUGUGGAAGAUCCUUUAGAAAUUCCUCAUCCUUUAAUGUUCACAUUCAAAUUCACACUGGAAUAAAACCACACAAAUAUACGGAAUGUGGGAAAGCCUUCACUAGGUCAACUCACCUUACUCAACAUGUAAGAACUCACACUGGAAUAAAACCCUAUGAAUGUAA